rnacentral:rRNA from 1 species
GGUGAACGCUGGCGGCGUGCCUAAGACAUGCAAGUCGAGCGGGCCGCGGGGUUUUACUCCGUGGUCAGCGGCGGACGGGUGAGUAACGCGUGGGUGACCUACCCGGGAGAGGGGGACAACACGGGGAAACUCGGGCUAAUCCCCCAUGUGGACCCGCCCCUUGGGGUGUGUCCAAAGGGCUUUGCCCGCUUCCGGAUGGGCCCGCGUCCCGUCAGCUAGUUGGUGGGGUAAUGGCCCACCAAGGCGACGACGGGUAGCCGGCCUGAGAGGGUGGCCGGCCACAGGGGCACUGAGAAACGGGCCCGACUCCCGCGGGGGGCACCAGCGAGGAGUCGUAGGCAAUGAGCGCAAGCCUGGGGGAGCGACGCCGCUUGGAGGAAGAGGGCGUGCGGGGUGUAAACUCCUGAACCCGGGACGAAUCCGCCGGCGAGGGGACGGACGGUACCGGGGUAAUAGCGCCGGCCAACUCCGUG